rnacentral:rRNA from 1 species
AACGAACGCUGGCGGCGCGCCUAAUACAUGCAAGUCGAGCGAGAAGACGUAGCAAUACGUUUGUAAAGCGGCGAACGGGUGAGGAAUACAUGGGUAACCUACCCUCGAGUGGGGAAUAACUAGCCGAAAGGUUAGCUAAUACCGCGUACGCUCCUUGGACUUCGGUUCAGGGAGGAAAGCGAUACCGUGGGUAUCGCGCUCUUGGAUGGGCUCAUGUCCUAUCAGCUUGUUGGGUGAGGUAACGGCUCACCAAGGCCUCGACGGGUAGCUGGUCUGAGAGGACGAUCAGCCACACUGGCACUGCGACACGGGCCAGACUCCUACGGGAGGCAGCAGUAAGGAAUAUUGCGCAAUGGGCGAAAGCCUGACGCAGCGACGCCGCGUGGGGGA